rnacentral:rRNA from 1 species
AUACGGAGGGUCCGAGCGUUAAUCGGAAUUACUGGGCGUAAAGCGCGCGUAGGUGGUUAGACAAGUCAGAUGUGAAAGCCCCGGGCUCAACCUGGGAACUGCAUUUGAAACUGUUUGGCUAGAGUAUGGUAGAGGUGAGUGGAAUUUCAGGUGUAGCGGUGAAAUGCGUAGAGAUCUGAAGGAACGUCAGUGGCGAAGGCGACUCACUGGGCCAUUACUGACACUGAGGUGCGAAAGCGUGGGUAGCAAACAGGAUUAGAAACCCCAGUAGUCC